rnacentral:rRNA from 1 species
ACUCUGACCGUGCAAAGGUAGCAUAAUCAUUUGCCUUAUAAUUGAAGGCUAGCAUGAAUGGUUUGAUGAGAACAAAGCUGUCUCCUUUUAAUUUUAUAAAACUUGAUUUUUGGGUGAAGAAGCCCAAAUAAAAUUGAUAGACGAGAAGACCCUAUCGAGCUUAAAAAAAUUUUAUUAAAAUAAAAUUUGCUUGCAAAAGACUAAUUAUAAUAAAAAAUUUUAGUUGGGGCGACUAAGGAACAAUAAAGCUUCCAUUUUUAAUAUUAUAGCAUAUUAGCUAUGAUCCAAAAUUUUUGAUUAAAARAAUUAGUUACCGUAGGGAUAACAGCAUAAUCUUUUUUGAGAGUUCUUAUCAAAAAGAAGGUUUGUGACCU